CCUACGGGAGGCAGCAGUGGGGGAUAUUGCACAAUGGGGGAAACCCUGAUGCAGCGAUGCCGCGUGAAUGAAGACGGCCUUCGGGUUGUAAAGUUCUGUCGCAGGGGACGAAAAUGACGGUACCCUGCAAGAAAGCUCCGGCUAACUACGUGCCAGCAGCCGCGGUAAUACGUAGGGAGCAAGCGUUGUCCGGAUUUAUUGGGUUUAAAGGGUGCGCAGGCGGAUUUUUAAGUCAGCGGUCAAAUCGUGGGGCUCAACCCCAUCCAGCCGUUGAAACUGGGGAUCUAGAGUGUGCGAGAGGUAUGCGGAAUGCGUGGUGUAGCGGUGAAAUGCAUAGAUAUCACGCAGAACCCCGAUUGCGAAGGCAGCAUACCGGUGCACAACUGACGCUCAGGCACGAAAGCGUGGGUAUCGAACAGGAUUAGAUACCCGAGUAGUC
rnacentral:rRNA from 1 species